UACAGAGGAGCCAAGCGUUGUCCGGAUUGACUGGGCGUAAAGCGCACGCAGGCGGACGCGCGCGUGGGGUGUGAAAUCUGGCCGCUUAACGGCCAGGCGCCAUCCCAUACGGCGCGUCUGGAGUGAUGCAGAGGUCGGUGGAAUUGCCGGUGUAGUGGUGAAAUGCGUAGAGAUCGGCAGGAACAGCCCAGGGGAAACCGACGCCGAGCUGGGACCAUGG
rnacentral:rRNA from 1 species